rnacentral:rRNA from 1 species
UGAGGAACAUGACCUUCGGCGGGGGAUAGCCGGCCCAACGGCCGGGUAAUACCGCGUACGACCACAUGGGGACAUCCCUGAGUGGUGAAAGCAGCAAUGCGCCGAUGGAGUGCCUCGCGGCCUAUCAGCUAGGUUGGUGAGGUAAUGGCUCACCAAGGCGACGGCGGGUAGCCGGCCUGAGAGGGUGACCGGCCACACUGGGACUGAGACACCGGCCCAGACCUCCGUACGGGAGCAG